UACGAAGGGGGCUAGCGUUGUUCGGAAUCACUGGGCGUAGAGAGCACGUAGGCGGAUUGCUAAGUCAGAGGUGAAAUCCCGGAGCUCAACUUCGGAACUGCCUUUGAUACUGGCAAUCUCGAGUCUGGAAGAGGUUGAUGGAACUGCGAGUGUAGAGGUGAAAUUCGUAGAUAUUCGCAAGAACACCAGUGGCGAAGGCGGCCAACUGGUCCAGUACUGACGCUGAGGUGCGAAAGCGUGGGGAGCAAACAGG
rnacentral:rRNA from 1 species